ensembl:snRNA Gm26227 predicted gene, 26227
UUGCUUCAGCAGCAAAUAUAAGAUUAGAAACAAUACAGAAAAGAUUAGCAUGGCCCCUAUGCAAAGAUGACACAAACAUUUAUGAACCAUUCCAUAUUUUU